rnacentral:rRNA from 1 species
AGUGAACGCUGGCGGCAGGCCUAACACAUGCAAGUCGAACGGCAGCACAGUAAGAGCUUGCUCUUACGGGUGGCGAGUGGCGGACGGGUGAGGAAUACAUCGGAAUCUACUUUUUCGUGGGGGAUAACGUAGGGAAACUUACGCUAAUACCGCAUACGACCUACGGGUGAAAGCAGGGGAUCUUCGGACCUUGCGCGAUUGAAUGAGCCGAUGUCGGAUUAGCUAGUUGGCGGGGUAAAGGCCCACCAAGGCGACGAUACGUAGCUGGUCUGAGAGGAUGAUCAGCCACACUGGAACUGAGACACGGUCCAGGCUCCUACGGGAGGCAGCAGUGGGGAAUAUUGGACAAUGGGCGCAAGCCUGAUCCAGCCAUACCGUGUGGGUGAAGAAGGCCUUCGGGUUGUAAAGCCCUUUUGUUGGGAAAGAAAAGCAGCAGGUUAAUACCCCGCUGUUCUGACGGUACCCAAUGAAUAAGCACCGGCUAACUUCGUG